rnacentral:misc_RNA from 1 species
GAAAUGCGAUAAGUAAUGUGAAUUGCAGAAUUCAGUGAAUCAUCGAAUCUUUGAACGCACAUUGCGCCCCUUGGUAUUCCGGGGGGCAUGCCUGUUCGAGCGUCAUUACACCACUCAAGCCUGGCUUGGUAUUGGGCGUCGCGGCCGCCGCGCGCCUCAAAGUCUCCGGCUGGGUCUUUCACCUCUAAGCGUUGUGACACAAUCCAUUCGCUUCGUGGAUGUGGGGGGCCCGCGCCGUUAAACGAUUUUUAUCUAAAGGUUGACCUCGGAUCAGGUAGGGAUACCCGCUGAACUUAA